UUGACACACUUGGGCUUUUUUGUCAACGCAGUUCGUAAUAUUGUAAUGUCACUUAUGACUCAUCAAGAAUGAGGGCAUAUUAGAAAUUUCAGAUCCCACCGUUUGAUCAAAAGUCACCUAGCUAUCUGAUCUGUCUGAGUGAGCACAAUUCUCAUUGGGCGUAUUUAUUCUCACCAACUUUAUUUCCCUUCAUAAAAGUCAUGCCUUUCCAUCUUCUUGUUUCACUCGCUAUAAAUCCCUUCUUCACUGUGCC
rnacentral:lncRNA from 1 species